UACGUAGGGUGCAAGCGUUGUCCGGAAUUAUUGGGCGUAAAGAGCUCGUAGGCGGUCUGUCGCGUCUGGUGUGAAAACUCAGGGCUUAACCCUGAGCUUGCAUCGGGAACGGGCAGACUAGAGUGCGGUAGGGGAGACUGGAAUUCCUGGUGUAGCGGUGAAAUGCGCAGAUAUCAGGAGGAACACCGGUGGCGAAGGCGGGUCUCUGGGCCGGAACUGACGCUGAGGAGCGAUAGCGUGGGGAGCGAACAGG
rnacentral:rRNA from 1 species